AGGCGUGAUAAACGGAACCGCACCCAACCCGGUUCGGCUGUCGGAGAUGUGCGAGCGGCUGGGGCGAGUCGUCGGCCGCCCCUCCUGGCUGCCGGUGCCAGAAAUCGCCCUCAAAGCGGUGCUCGGAGAAGGUGCAUCAGUGGUCCUGGAAGGGCAGAAGGUUCUUCCUGUGAAGGCCAAGCAACUGGGCUUCUCCUACCGAUACCCCUAUGUACAGGAUGCACUCCGGGCCAUUGCCAGGGACCUAUGACUGAUCGACUCAGAUGAAUACUCA
rnacentral:misc_RNA from 1 species